UGGUGGAGUGAUUUGUCUGGUUAAUUCCGAUAACGAACGAGACCACAGCCUGCUAACUAGUUACGCCUAUACUUUGCCUCGUGUGAUGUAUAGGUGGCAAUACUUCUUGGAGGGGACUUUCAGCGUUUAGCUGAAGGAAGUUUGUGGCAAUAACA
rnacentral:rRNA from 1 species